rnacentral:tRNA from 1 species
AGCCAGGUGGCGGAAUGGUAGACGCGCGACGCUCAGAACGUCGUGCCUGAAAUGGCAUGCGAGUUCGACUCUCGCUCUGGCUAC